AUUGAACGCUGGCGGCGUGCUUAACACAUGCAAGUCGAGCGGUAACGCGGGGGCAACCCUGGCGACGAGCGGCGAACGGGUGCGUAAUGCAUGGGAAUCUGCCUGAUAGUGGGGAAUAACCCGGGGAAACUCGGGCUAAUGCCGCAUACGACCUACGGGUGAAAGCGGGGGACCGUAAGGCCUCGCGCUAUCGGAUGAGCCCAUGUCGGAUUAGCUAGUUGGUAGGGUAACGGCCUACCAAGGCUACGAUCCGUAGCUGGUCUGAGAGGACGGCCAGCCACACUGGGACUGAGACACGGCCCAGACUCCUACGGAGGCAGCAGUGGGGAAUAUUGGACAAUGGGGGGAAACCCUGAUCCAGCGACGCCGCGUGUGUGAAGAAGGCCUGCGGGUU
rnacentral:rRNA from 1 species